CCAGAUAAUCAUUCAGUAAAUGAAUCCACACAAAAAUAUACGUUCAUAGAUGUAUUAGGAAUAUUUGAUGUGAGUCAGUGAGAGUUUUCCAUGGUAAUGCUGUUUUAUACGUAGAAACAUAAUUUAGGGAUUACAAGAGGUUACUUAGCACAUGAAUAAGAAAGCAAUAGAUAAAUACACAGUUCAGCUUUGGGAAUAUACUGUGUCUGGAUUUCAAGUUUCUGUCAGGUGUGAAGAAUUAGCAAUGUCACAAGUUAAUUUCAUUGAACAAUUCUAUUAGUAGCACUUACCAGAAUGAUUUUUAACUAUAAUGGCCACUUAUCAAAAGUUUAUGCAAUACUGAACGAUUAAAAAACAUGAGUUUGUACUGGUUCAUCUUAACAGCUUGCAGGCACAUACCCCACAGCAGCUGAAGACCACUGUCUGCUUGGAAGAGACUGCAGAACCAGACCUGGAAUCAUACCAGCACUGAAACAAGGCACAAGUUACAGGAAGGAAUGGAAGCUGCCAGUGAGGGUAGGGAUGGAGGAGCAGACACGCUGCUUGCCCUAACCACCAGCUUAGCACUGCAUUGAUUGAAGUCACUUCAUCAAGUGGCCCUUUUCUCCUCUGGAAGACCAGCAUACAGGAGUGGCUCACAGACUUCAGACUGCAUCUAUUUAAACCCUCCAAAGAUAUUCCUGGAUACAGGCAUGAAAGGCAUGAAUUGAAGCCAACACCGAGGGAAAAGGAGGACGUUUUGAUUCCUAACGUUCCCACACAUGAAUGCUCCAUAAUUACUGAAACAUCACAGGAUUAUUCAAACAGUAUUAAUCAGUACAAUGUUUGUCAAUGCCUCCAGAAUAAAUGCCCUUGUUUAGCUAUAAUACAAUUUCUAUAUGAAGACUUUAGUCCAGUUUUAGGAAAGAUUCUCACUCCCAACUCAUUAUUCGAGUACUAACAUACUUCAGAACAAGAAGAAAUUAAUCAGCUUGUAAGUCUACCCAGGUGUCUGAAAUAAAUGUUUGGCAGCUACUAUGUUUUUCAGAAAGCUUUCAAUUCACUACAAAUUCUACGUCAGAAGAUACAUAGGCAUUUAAUUUGGCUGACAGAUACCUGAUAGUCCACUGCCUUUUGGAGACAAUGUGGUGUUAAGAAUGUACUGAAACAAACACUGUGCCUGAACUUAGAUGGACUUGUAUUGGUAAGGGAGAGCAUCCAUGACAGCCAGUGCGUCAGUAAUGCACCAUGUGUUUGCACCAAACUGAGAGGAAAGGCCUUUUUCAAACUGGUUGUGCAGGGAAGAUUUAGGUCCAAUGACAUUUUAUUUCAUCUGGAAUUUAGACAGGAAUAUUAGUUUAACUGUCCAACUAGAUUAAAUGUCCAAUUACAUUACACCAGUGUGAAGAUUUUGGGUGGAGCGUUAAACAUCUUACUAAGUUAUUUGUCAAAGCAUUUUGACUAUUGCCUACCACCUGCAAGAAAAUACUGCUGCACACUGAAAUGCAGCUGCAGUAUCCAGUUACUCGUAGGGGUGCCAGUCUUUUUAGCAGUCACUAGACUAUAUCAUCUAUUACUAUGCUGCACACAUGCCAUACACUGUAUACUCGGUAUUGUAAUUUAACUCCCAUGCACUGCAUGAAUAUCAUUUUCAAACAGUAUUUGCAUGUGGCAAGAGCUCUGAGAAGCAAGAACUCACAAGCCAGCAACUGUUCCUCAGAACACACAAAUUUGACUGUGGAGAACAACAGCAGUUCAGAAACCAAGAAUACAUCAAAGAUUAUUCAUAUUUAAAGCCAACACCCCCCAAAAUCUUACAUAACAUUCCUUUUCCUUAGCAUAGCCUGCUGGCCUAGCAGCAAAAUGCCAACGAUAAUACUCUUUCAUGCUAAUGGUUUAGACUUCAAAACUGGAAAAGCAUCCCUGCUGAGAGAAGAGAACGUGACAGAUGGCAUGAGCUAUUGCAGUAAUCUUACUGACAAAGCACCAGGCACGUGAAGGAAGUUCAAAAUCUAUUUGCAUUUCCCAGUUGAAACAUGGAAGCUUGAUAGUAAAGGUACUCAGAAAGAAGUUAUCUACAGCUUUGAAAAUGUAGGUGUGAUUUUUUUGCUUCUACUUUCCUAAUGAAGAUUUAUAACUUCCACUUGGAAAAUAAACAAAGUUUACAACUUACAUUCAUAUGCUAGGAUAAGAUUAAGAGGCCUGCAGCCAAGCCUUGGAGCACUGUAAGAGCAGGUUAUUUCAGGUAUUGAAAUUGGCAGCCAUUUGGGAUUUAAUACAGGCUAAUGCUUCAAAUAAUUGGUCCAUUUAAACUAGUACUAAGAAAUCCAUACGCUUCUGCUGACAAAUUUGUAUUCAGUUUAAAGAAACGAGUAAAUGGGUCACUACAUUUAUCACAUUUUUUUGUUAAGACAUCACUUGUUUAUGGGUAAUCAGAUGUACACAGAUUACUCACACUUGUGUCACGUAUCGAUACCAAAUGCUCUUAUCCUGCAAAUAGGGACUGAUUAAAAGAUAACUUCAUCUGAUCCCAAUUCUACUACAGUCCUUUCAUGUGACAUUGGGAAAGCCAUUCUACUUCUCUGUUUGUGAUUUGCUGUUUACUUCUACUUCACAUUGUCAGUCUCAUCUAUAUUAAAUAGAGAAGUUAGGGAUCAAACUGUGACACAAACAAUAAAAACCUUGAAAGAAAGAUACAUAAAUUACUGUGGAAAGACGAAAUAAAUCAGCAAAAAACUGACAUGCUAACAGUGCUAGUAUUCGGUAUCUUAAGCAAAAGUCUUCACUGCAGCACAUCAGGAGGAAAAAUAUAUAAACUUUUAUAGAAACCUGAAAGUAAGAAACUAGACAUCAGCACUACAGAAAGGAUUUUGUUUUAGAAUUGUCUAAUUCUAAUUCUUAGAUACUUUUUUUUUUAAAUACACAAGUGGAGAAGGUUAAAUUUCUGAUGUUAUUCUUGCAUGUUCUCAUACAGCUGAGGUACAUACUCUGAUUAUCAACCAGCUAUGAUAUACUUCUGCUGCACUACCAGAGCUAUAAGCAAAUCUAUUGUUUAAAAGAGAAAUGCAGUGAGUGUAAAAGAAACCUAACAGCUCAGAAAUAACUACUGCAUGUGACCAUUGGCUAUUGCUCACAGAACCCCAUACACUCAGCUUAAAUAAUGGUCAUUGUUACUCCAUUUAUUGGAAGAAAAUUCUAAGUUUCUCCCAAAUGGAUUUCCUGAGAGGAAAGUAGCAACACUUAUGCCUGCAACGUGCUACAGAUUUUCUGAUGGUAUUGUCUAUAAUACAGUUUUAAGAAAGUACUUUUUAAGGACAUGAGUCUCUGGAGAUGCAGAUCACACACAUGAGAAUUGCAGACAUAUUAUUGCAAUUAACUGAAAAAGAAAAUAACAAAUACUACAUCUAUAAUCAAAGAAAAAUCUUCUCCUAGUUACAACAGUAAGGUUGAUAGCUUGAUUCCAGGAACCUGAUUGUUAAAGAAAGAUAUAAAAUACGUGAAUGAUAAGAAUAUUCAUCAAAAUGCAAAUGCAAAGGGUAUUUUUCAAAACGAAUAAUGGUAAACACGAAAAAGCAGCAAGCAGCCAGAAGAAAAAAAAGUCAAGAGGGUCAUUAAGGAACACGAAUGCACUAAUAGUGACAGAUGAGGCUGGUAUGGCUGAAGGCCUGAAUAAGUUAUUUGCCUUAACACUCAUGGAGUAAUUUGAAGCACAUCCGUGAGACUAAAAUAUAUUUUCACUGGAGAAAGCGACACAGUGGAUGAAAUACAAGGCAGAUGUUUAUUAUUCCAGAGCUCAAAAAAUAGUUCAGUAAUCAAAGCAACUGAAAACUGACAUGCAUCAGAAUGCAAGAAGAAAUAAAAUAACUUUAAAAGAUUUUCACUUUGAUUUCUAAGAGCUCAUUGAUAACAGGAGCAGGGAGAGAGACUUCCAGUGUCUAUUUCUCAGUUUCUGGGAAGACCUGUCCACGUGAGACGUGCUUAAGUUACAGAGAAAGGUUUAGCCUAUUUUUUUAUUAAAAUGCCUCCAAAUGGUAGUGGAAAAAUCCUCUGUCUCCUGAUUAGCAAAAAGAAGAUGGCAGUAUAUUCUCUUCAGUCUUCUACGAAGCUAUUAUAACCAGCAACAUAGCAACGAUAGACAAUAAGCCCAUGAAAACUGAUCAACUAGCAUAUAUUAAAGUGUCUUGCAAGUUAGUUCCCUAAUAUACACUUCAGAGCAUCUAAAAUUAAUGGACGUCAGUAAAAUAAGCCACUUCUCUCAUAGAGCAAAAUAUCACAUUGCCACUAAAAACUACCAUGUAUAAUUUUAAGAAAGAUGUAUAAUAUCCUAUGGCUUGUUCUAAGGUCCAGGAGGAAAGGCUGUUCUUUACUAAAUCUAAACAAUACACAAGAAUAUUCAUGAAAUAGGUUAUGUUUUGGCCAUUACUGACAGCAAAUACUAUAGAAACCAACACAAAGUUCCUUAAGGAAAGAACUAUAACAACAACUAGCACAGCAAUAACGAAUUCAUUAAGGGGAAUUCAAAAUUCCAUGUAAUUAAUUAAAAGAUCCUGAAGUCAAAAAUAAGGAUAUUUUUUGUCAUGUAGUAAUUAAACUAGGAUUUGAAUUGGCCAAGUUUCACCAAAUCCCUAUAGGGAAACUAUUACAAACGCAAGAUAGAUUUCUCAACUUCAAAAGUGCACUACGAGACCUUGCACAAAGGUCUUAGUGUACAUUUCUAUUAGGAGACUGUGACAAAACACAAAGAGUAAGUAGCACAAAACUUUGCAACAGAUAAUAUGACACAACUUAAGUACAUCAGGUAGAGGAAAAAAAUCUGAAAGGCCUAACGUGCUUGUUUGAACAACAACACAGAUACUUGAAAAGAAUAAGGACAGCAAAUAAAUCAAUUGCCCCACGGAACUUACACCUUUUCAACAGGAAACAUGCUACAACAGCAGAAAAAAAAAUGCUAGAAGAGGACUGGAAGUAGCCCAAUCAGAAACAAAAUGGCUGAGAUGCUGACUAGGAGUUUCUCACCUGGUAGCAUGGAGUACAAGACAACAGCUUUCACUAUUUGUAUUCUAUUGAGAGAAGUUGUAGACCUCACUAAUCUAACUCCAGUGAAUUGGCUACAGGAAAGAAUAGAUAAAUUGUAAUAAUCACAAGAUGAAUUUUAGGCAAACACUACAUUUUCUACUGAAGAAAAUUACUUCUUUCUAUGAAUGAGCAACAUCCUUCAGGAGGCAUCGUUCACCUGCCAGUCUUUCGAAUCACAGUGCUGAGUUGGAUUUGAAUCUCACAGGUUAUUUAAAUACAAUUUUAAAAGACUUUCAAGCACAUUUCAGCAGGAAAGUCAUAUACUUCCUUAUUCUUUGCACUGAUUGCACCACUGACCCAAGAGAAAUACCUGCUUGAGCGUAAAUUCUGCAGAAUUAUCUUCUUCUGGUUAACAUUCUGUAUUGCCAUUACUAUGAAAUGUCUUUUUUCUAACCAGGUAGCUAUAAGAAAAAUUUAAAAUCAAUCUAACAUGCUACAAUUAAAUGUUAUCACAAUAAAUGAGAAAAUUAAGCCAAGACCAUAAGGACAUCAAGGCUUCUGCAGCACCUUCUCCCAGUUAUAGGGACAGAAGAAGAAUUGUCAUGGAUAGGAAGAAGGUAACUUUCCACAGACUCUUGGAAUACCAGGAAGUUCAGAUAUGACUGACUUUACAUGCAGAAAAUGCAUCUUUCCAUUACAUAACAGCAAGCUGCUGUUCAUUGGACUGUAUGCAGAGGAGACACCUAAAGGCAGUAUCUAUCAGGAUUUUCUACAAUGCUCUUUUAUAGUGGGCAAACAGCAGAAUCGUAUAGAACAGAGAAGGUACAGCUGCUUCAGUCCCACUGUUGUUAUUAAAUCCUUUCCCAGGUAAAGACUAGGUCAUUUGUCCAUGGAUACAUAGCUCAUUUCAACUGGGCACUUAUUUAAAUUUAACCUGAACAGAAGAAAGCAAACAUCUGUAUUCAUCAUGCUCCCGUCUUAAUUUGUAGCUGGUUUUCUGGCAACAAAGCUUGCCCUAUUUACUUGUCCAUAAUUGCCAGUGUAAUGGGAUCAUUGGUGGAUGUUCCCCAGCAGCUUUGCAAAGACCUUUCUCACACUGAGAACUAGCAGUUGUCAGAAACUGUUUUCCAGGAGUAAGGUUCAGUGCAAAUCCACAAGGGAUGUAGUUGUUACUCACUCAUUUAAGGACUUUCUUCCAUUAGAACUUGCCCUACGCAGACACUUGACUAGUACUCUUUUCAGCAGAAGUACUAUUUCAGUUAGAGACAUUUUCUCUGCGCACUGUGUUGGUAUGGCUGUCACUUCCAUGCAGUAACUUGAAAGAUCCAAUUGCAUUUCCAUAUAUAAAACUGUCUAACCUGACAGGACGCUGUACUUUUUAUGUCCACCCACAUUUCCUGAUGUUUUCACCUUGAUUUAGAGCACACUUCUAAAAAUAAUUUUAAGUUCCGUGUUGCAAGAGGGAAGGGGGACAAAAAAUAUCUGUGCUUAUGACAUAAUCCUACAGCCUUGCACAUGAAAAUGACUGAUGUAACUCAGAGGAAUGGGGAAGCAGUAUAGUAAAGCACUCGGGUAAAUGCUUUACACAAGUGGAAAAAGCUGCAUCUCCCACAGGACUGAUUUAUGUGAGAGUUAAAUUGCUUGCGUGGAGAUGUUACACCAGCAUGUUUCCUCUCUGAAACAAAACACAAUGAAAUAUAAAGCCUCUCCCACUGUGAGCUAACAAAUUUAAAUCAGCCUCUUUUGCCUGUUGCUGUGGUAACCAGCUGCAGGAAGGGCUUUGCAGAAAUUCCAGGCAAAAACUGUAUGAAUUGUUUAUGUAAUCACAGAUCUCCAUAUGAAUAAAAAUCACUCACUGUAUCACAGGAGAGACGUGCUUUACUGGCUGCAUUAGCAGAACAGAUGUAAUACAUGACUGAUAUUAAUAAAGCAAGAGACCGAAUGUUCGCUAUGAAUUUCUAAGUUGUGACACCUCGUUACUCACUGUUUGGAGACAUGAAACAGCGUUCUGCCCACAGGACCAUCGCUGAAGCACAUCAAGCAGCAUUAAAUUCACUCUGAAUUUUGUUUAUCCUAAAUGGUAAAUAUCUUCCAAAAUUACAGUUAUGGUUAUGUAAUUGUGGAGUUCAGAGAAAACACAAGUCCUGGUAAAGGAGCAGCAUCAAAGAAGAUGCAAACGAGGAAAGUUACAGCUAUUUGCCUACAACUGAAAUGGAGUAUUAACAGUCUUGUACAAGAUUUAAGAUAAUUCAUGUUACAGAGAAAACAUACCUAAUGAGAGCCUUAAU